rnacentral:sRNA from 1 species
CUGAAAUGAAAACAGUUGUUCACGGUGUGUCCCAA